rnacentral:rRNA from 1 species
GUCCUACGGGAGGCAGCAGUGAGGAAUAUUGGUCAAUGGGCUUACGCCUGAACCAGCCAAGUCGCGUGAGGGAAGACUGCCCUAUGGGUUGUAAACCUCUUUUGUCAGGGAGCAACGCCGGCUACGUGUAGCCGGACUGAGAGUACCCGAAGAAAAAGCAUCGGCUAACUCCGUGCCAGCAGCCGCGGUAAUACGGAGGAUGCGAGCGUUAUCCGGAUUUAUUGGGUUUAAAGGGUGCGCAGGCGGAGGUGCAAGUCAGUGGUCAAAUUGCGGGGCGCAACCCCGUACUGCCGUUGAAACUGCAU